rnacentral:rRNA from 1 species
CCUACGGGAGGCUGCAGUGGGGGAUAUUGGACAAUGGGGGGAACCCUGAUCCAGCGACGCCGCGUGAGUGAAGAAGUAUUUCGGUAGGUAAAGCUCGGUCAGCAGGGAAGAAAGAAAUGACGGUACCGGACCAAGAAGCAACGGCUAACUACGUGCCAGCAGCCGCGGUAAUACGUAGGGGGCAAGCGUUAUCCGGAAUUACUGGGUGUAAAGGGAGCGUAGACGGUUAAGUAAGUCUGGAGGGAAAGGCCGGGGCCCCUCCCCGGGACUGCUCUGGAAACUAUUGAACUUGAGUGCAGGAGCGGUAAGCGGACUUCCUAGUGUAGCGGUGCACUGCGUAGAUAUUAGGAGGAACACCAGUGGCGAAGGCGGCUUACUGGACUGUACCUGACGUUGAGGCUCGAAAGCGUGGGGAGCAAACAGGAUUAGAUCCCCCAGUAGUC